ACGAGCGCAGUGACGGGAGACUGUCACGCUGCGUUCUGUGGGGGCCCGGGGGUGAGAUCCCCCCGGGCUACCCGGC
rnacentral:ncRNA from 2 species